CCUGGUAGCUCAACUGGUAAAGAAUCUGCCUGUAAUGCAGGAGACCCUGGUUCGAUUCCUGGGUCAGGA
rnacentral:tRNA from 1 species